UGGGGAAUAUUGGACAAUGGGCGAAAGCCUGAUCCAGCCAUGCCGCGUGUGUGAAGAAGGUCUUCGGAUUGUAAAGCACUUUAAGUUGGGAGGAAGGGCAGUAAGCGAAUACCUUGCUGUUUUGACGUUACCGACAGAAUAAGCACCGGCUAACUCUGUGCCAGCAGCCGCGGUAAUACAGAGGGUGCAAGCGUUAAUCGGAAUUACUGGGCGUAAAGCGCGCGUAGGUGGUUCGUUAAGUUGAAUGUGAAAGCCCCGGGCUCAACCUGGGAACUGCAUCCGAAACUGGCGAGCUAGAGUAGGGCAGAGGGUGGUGGAAUUUCCUGUGUAGCGGUGAAAUGCGUAGGUAUAGGAAGGAACACCAGUGGCGAAGGCGACCACCUGGGCUCAUACUGACACUGAGGUGCGAAAGCGUGGGGAGCAAACAGG
rnacentral:rRNA from 1 species